rnacentral:rRNA from 1 species
GGCUCAGGACGAACGCUGGCGGCGUGCUUAACACAUGCAAGUCGAACGAUGAUGCCCAGCUUGCUGGGCGGAUUAGUGGCGAACGGGUGAGUAAUACGUGAGUAACCUGCCCCUGACUCUGGGAUAAGCCUGGGAAACCGGGUCUAAUACUGGAUACGACCUUCCACCGCAUGGUGGGGGGUGGAAAGGGUUUUACUGGUUUUGGAUGGGCUCACGGCCUAUCAGCUUGUUGGUGGGGUAAUGGCUCACCAAGGCGACGACGGGUAGCCGGCCUGAGAGGGUGACCGGCCACACUGGGACUGAGACACGGCCCAGACUCCUACGGGAGGCAGCAGUGGGGAAUAUUGCACAAUGGGCGAAAGCCUGAUGCAGCGACGCCGCGUGAGGGAUGACGGCCUUCGGGUUGUAAACCUCUUUCAGUAGGGAAGAAGCGC